GCGUACCGCUACAAGCCCGUGCGGUAGGCUGCUCGGAGGAUCAUACAGGUGACGCUUGAUAGUCGUGGGAGAGCGUUAUUUUGUGCCACAUAGUGUGUCGACAAGGCCGACAGGCGCUGCUUGCAGUGCGAUCAACAGGUUCGCUCAGCGCCACAGUGCAGCCACUGCUGGUCUGCUACUGUCUCAACAGAGAUGCCAUGGGAUGCCAACAGAAGCCACCUUGAUGUGGUGGCCGAUGUCAAUCCCACACCACACGCGGAACGUCACAAUGUCAUCAAAACAAAA